rnacentral:rRNA from 1 species
UGCGCAGGCGGGUUUGUAAGUCAGUGGUGAAAUCCUGCCGCUUAACGGUAGAAUUGCCAUUGAUACUGCGAAUCUUGAGUAUGGUUGAGGUAGGCGGAAUGUGUAGUGUAGCGGUGAAAUGCAUAGAUAUUACACAGAACUCCGAUUGCGAAGGCAGCUUACUAAGCCAUAACUGACGCUGAGGCACGAAAGCGUGGGGAGCGAACAGGAUUAGAUACCCUGGGUAGUCC